AGUGAUCAUCUCAGACACGACCGAUGCUUUCUGAACGCAAGCUCACACUCAUCGAGACUCUUCAUUAACACGAGCUCAAGAACAACACGAAGCACAAGAUAGUGAAGAGUGAACUGAGACUUGUUAAGCAGAUUCUAAACAAGCGCUCUAAUCAACUUCUAAACAGGAUGAGAUCUGUGUUUCUCCUUGUGCUCCUCGUGACUCUGGUGUUCAGUGAAGGACUGAAUAACGUCACUUUCAGCAACAAUCAACCUGAAAUGCUUCCAGUUCCAGCACAGAACACCGAAGAACUGAGACUCGUUGAGACUAUAUCAACAUCUAAACAGGAUGAGAUCGGCGCUUCUCCUCGUGCUCUUUCUCACGCUCAGUGAUGGAUCGAGUAACGUCAGCGUCAGCGACACUGAACCGGACGUGUUUUCGAACCCUUUUUCUAUCCGGGUAGGCCUACAACCCUGCGAGAUAUCUCGCGAUAACAACGGAUACAACAGGUUUAGACACAGGCACGUGCUCUCGCGUAGUUUCGACACCAGACGGGCACAAGAGUGGGAAAAUUACCUAAUGACAAAGAAUCUGUGUGGCAGAGAACUUGUGCAAUCCUUCCUCCCUAAAAGCGACGACGAAAGCGUUGUGAGAAUCUGCAACGGACGAGGCAACAGAGACACGGGAAACCAGUGCAUCAGUAUGAGAAAGUUCAAGGUGCACAUUGUUCGAAGUGCUCUCAGAGAUGGACAAUGUGUAGUUCGGUCUCCAGUCGAGUCUGUGGAGCGUUAUGUGACUGUGUCGUGUGAGGUCCUUCAAAACCAAUGUUUGCCUGUUCACUACGUGAGACAAACCAGAUUUAGACCAUCCCCACCCGGGCCGACCUGCACACCUCGGACAGUUUAGCAGAUGUUAAGGCACGUGCGCUUCAAUGUACACUGUAAAAAAAUAUUGAUGGUUUAACUUAAAAUUUUAAGGCAACCAGGUUACUUACUUUUUUAA